UACAGAGGUGGCAAGCGUUGUUCGGAAUUACUGGGCGUAAAGGGCGCGUAGGCGGCCUCUGCAAGUCGACUGUGAAAUCUCCGGGCUUAACCCGGAAAGGUCAGCCGAUACUGCAGGGCUAGAGUGCAGAAGGGGCAACUGGAAUUCUCGGUGUAGCGGUGAAAUGCGUAGAUAUCGAGAGGAACACCUGCGGCGAAGGCGGGUUGCUGGGCUGACACUGACGCUGAAGUGCGAAAGCUAGGGGAGCGAACGGG
rnacentral:rRNA from 1 species